AGGCGUGAACACGGUGUGUGUGAGUUCAGUGAGAGUGUGUGAGUCUACCAGAACUUCAGUCGUGAUAUGGUGGAUACAGUAAAGGUUCCAGCCUCCUGCUGCUUCUUCUGAAGUUUCUUCUACACCUUCUUUGGACUCCUGGAAUGCAAGAGCUGUCACUUCACCAGCUGCACUAGACCACAAUUCUUUUACCAAGCAAAACAAAGCAUUCUUGAAAGCAGGCUAAAAGACAUUCAAGCCUUUUAAACUGAACAAGACAAGAAGGAGCAGCAUCAAAAGUACAGAGAAGAAUCCAGAUGAUCCGGCAUCUACUGUUCAUGAUGGUUAAUUUUGAGUCAGCCAAGGCCAGUUUGAGCCAAGUAGAAGCUCCUGUUGGACACAAACCUGAGGACACAGCAAACAAUCACGAGGCUCCUAAAAAACUCUCCAGAAGAGAAUCUCUGGAUCUGCCUAUUAACUUUGAGUCACAGUCUUCUGCAGACUCUAUCAUGAGCACCCAACCUUCUAAUGUAACACAAGAGAAUCAGGAGGCAACUGCAGCAUCACCCCACCUACCCACACCCCUCCAAACUCCAGCUAAAGACCUGCCUUUUACCUGAAACGCAUAUACAGUUUAGGCACUGCAGUGGGUUUUCCAGGGUGCCUGGAGGAUGAAUGUUGAACCAUGUCUGAGAAGAUUAUAAGAGACUCCACCCACACAAGCACAGGGUGUCCUCACUGCUGCUGAAUGGCAGGCUGAUGAUCAGAUCAAUAGAUGCUGAUAAUUCCCCAGUUCUAUCAGUCUGUGGUUGCAAGAUGUUUUUAUGUUUUGGUGAGCGAGGGAGCAUUAAAUAGAGUUUUGUGCUGGCCCAUCCUACAAGCUAGACUUGAGAGUUAAGGUGUGAAAUUGUUGUUCUACGUACCGUGAGCUGUGUUGGUAGCUGUUCUAGUCUCAUCUGAGAGGAAUUUAUUGGAAAGGUUCUAUCUAUUUAUCUAUUUAUCUGUGCCUUCUUAAAACGUAUUACUGAACUGCACAUUUAUCCCUGUAUUCAUAGUUUUAGUUUAUAGUUUUGUGUAUAAUAAGGGGUUUUACUAUGUGAAUUCUAACUGUGUCUGUAAGAUGAUGUGUGGCUUUUGUGUAUUUUUAUUAGAAAAUCUAUCAAUAUUUAUCUGAAAUGGAUUGAAAAAAGUCUGACGAGUUUGUGCCACUAGGUGGAGCCAGUUCUCUAUUACAUAGCCAGUGAGUUGGAAGAUUAAGAAGGUUGUUUCUAAUAAAGUGGCCAGUGGGUUUAAGCACAAUGUAAGAGGUACAGUAAUAGAACAAAAGUUUGGUUUGGACACACCUCUUCUUAUUCAAUGUUUUCUUGUUUUUUAUAUAUAUUUUUUUUACAUUGUAAAUUUACAUUAAAGUCAUUAAAGCUA